UCCGUGUCGUAGCUAACGCAUUAAGUUCCCCGCCUGGGGAGUACGGCCGCAAGGCUAAAACUCAAAGGAAUUGACGGGGGCCCGCACAAGCGGCGGAGCAUGCGGAUUAAUUCGAUGCAACGCGAAGAACCUUACCAAGGCUUGACAUAUACCGGAAACGGCCAGAGAUGGUCGCCCCGCAAGGUCGGUAUACAGGUGGUGCAUGGUUGUCGUCAGCUCGUGUCGUGAGAUGUUGGGUUAAGUCCCGCAACGAGCGCAACCCUCGUCCUAUGUUGCCAGCACGUAAUGGUGGGAACUCAUGGGAUACUGCCGGGGUCAACUCGGAGGAAGGUGGGGAUGAGGUCAAAUCAUCAUGCCCCUUAUGUCUUGGGCUUCACGCAUGCUACAAUGGCCGGUACAAUGGGCUGCGAUACCGCAAGGUGGAGCGAAUCCCAAAAAGCCGGUCUCAGUUCGGAUUGGGGUCUGCAACUCGACCCCAUGAAGUCGGAGUCGCUAGUAAUCGUAGAUCAGCAACGCUACGGUGAAUACGUUCCCGGGCCUUGUACACACCGCCCGUCAAGUCC
rnacentral:rRNA from 1 species